CUUUUAAGUUAGAUUGAAUAACAGUUGCAGAUAGGCAGCCAUCGUGUAUCUAUUGUGUGUGGGUGUUACGGUUUUCAUCAUUCAACUUAGCAAAUUUAUUGGUACAAAUAGAGAUUAUUUCUGCCAAUUAUAUACUUCUUUAAUAACAGCAUUUGUUUAGACAGUUGUAAAAAUACUUUACAAUAUUUUAAUUGUUAAUUUUUUUAGGUAAUAGCAAAAUUCUGCAUUUUUUUUAAAGUAAAGCUAACAUUUUAUAUUUAAAAAAUUUUGGUCGCUUUAAUUUUGCUUUAAGAUUUCUUAAGGCUUUCUAGCCUACAAUCGUUUUUUAAAAUGGAAUUUUAUCAUUGCUUUCUGUAAGAAAUGUCAAUAAAAGCUAUUUUUGUGUG
rnacentral:sRNA from 1 species